rnacentral:rRNA from 1 species
AGAGUUUGAUCCUGGCUCAGAUUGAACGCUGGCGGCAUGCCUUACACAUGCAAGUCGAACGGUAACAGGUCUUCGGAUGCUGACGAGUGGCGAACGGGUGAGUAAUAUAUCGGAACGUGCCCAGUUGUGGGGGAUAACUACUCGAAAGAGUGGCUAAUACCGCAUACGACCUGAGGGUGAAAGCGGGGGAUCGCAAGACCUCGCGCGAUUGGAGCGGCCGAUAUCAGAUUAGGUAGUUGGUGGGGUAAAGGCUCACCAAGCCGACGAUCUGUAGCUGGUCUGAGAGGACGACCAGCCACACUGGGACUGAGACACGGCCCAGACUCCUACGGGAGGCAGCAGUGGGGAAUUUUGGACAAUGGGCGCAAGCCUGAUCCAGCAAUGCCGCGUGAGUGAAGAAGGCCUUCGGGUUGUAAAGCUCUUUUGUCAGGGAAGAAACGGGUGAGGCUAAUAUCCUCAUCUAAUGACGGUACCUGAAGAAUAAGCACCGGCUAACUACGUGCCAGCAGCCGCGGUAAUACGUAGGGUGCAAGCGUUAAUCGGAAUUACUGGGCGUAAAGCGUGCGCAGGCGGUUAUAUAAGACAGAUGUGAAAUCCCCGGGCUCAACCUGGGAAUGGCGAUGAAGACUGCAAGGCUAGAAUCUGGCAGAGGGGGGUAGAAUUCCACGUGUAGCAGUGAAAUGCGUAGAGAUGUGGAGGAACACCGAUGGCGAAGGCAGCCCCCUGGGUCAAGAUUGACGCUCAUGCACGAAAGCGUGGGGAGCAAACAGGAUUAGAUACCCUGGUAGUCCACGCCCUAAACGAUGUCAACUGGUUGUUGGGUCUUCACUGACUCAGUAACGAAGCUAACGCGUGAAGUUGACCGCCUGGGGAGUACGGCCGCAAGGUUAAAACUCAAAUGAAUUGACGGGGGCCCGCACAAGCGGUGGAGCAUGUGGUUUAAUUCGACGCAACGCGAAGAACCUUACCUACUCUUGACAUCUACGGAAGACUGCAGAGAUGCGGUUGUGCCUUCGGGAACCGUAAGACAGGUGCUGCAUGGCUGUCGUCAGCUCGUGUCGUGAGAUGUUGGGUUAAGUCCCGCAACGAGCGCAACCCUCGCCCUUAGUUGCCAGCAUUAAGUUGGGCACUCUAAGGGGACUGCCGGUGAUAAGCCGA